rnacentral:rRNA from 1 species
UACAGAGGUCUCAAGCGUUGUUCGGAUUCAUUGGGCGUAAAGGGUGCGUAGGUGGCGCGGUAAGUCGGGUGUGAAAUUUCGGAGCUUAACUCCGAAACUGCAUUCGAUACUGCCGUGCUUGAGGACUGGAGAGGAGACUGGAAUUUACGGUGUAGCAGUGAAAUGCGUAGAUAUCUGGAGGAACACCGGUGGCGAAGGCGGCAUCCUGGGCCGGUAUUGACGCUGAGGCGCGAAAGCUAGGGGAGCGAACGGG